AGCUUUUCGAAUCCGUGCUGAGAUUUCGUCAAACACCAACCCGUUAGGGCUGAUCAGACUUACAAGAUAAGUGAAGUU
rfam:Schistosoma haematobium scaffold411_1, whole genome shotgun sequence.